UGGUUAAAAAGCUCGUAGUUGGAUCUCAACAGCCUUGAAGCGGUUAACUUUGUAGUUUUACUGCUUUAUAGGCUGUGCUUUUGCUGGAGGUUUAGGGGUGCUCUUGAUCGAGUGUCUCUGGAUGCCAGCAGGUUUACUUUGAAAAAAUUAGAGUGCUCAAAGCAGGCUAAAAUGCCUGAAUAUUCGUGCAUGGAAUAAUAGAAUAGGAUGUCGAUCCUAUUUUGUUGGUUUUCGGGACUCGACAUAAUGAUAAAUAGGGACAGUCGGGGGCAUUUGUAUUCAAACGACAGAGGUGAAAUUCUUGGACCGUUUGAAGACAAACUACUGCGAAAGCAUUUGCCAAGAAUGUUUUCAUUAAUCAAGAACGAAAGUUAGAGGUUCGAAGGCGAUUAGAUACCGCCCUAGUUCUAACCAUAAACGAUGCCAGCUAGCGAUCUGCCUGCGUUUUUACUGUAGACUGGGCAGGAAGCUUCCGGGAAACCAAAGCAUUUGGGUUCCAGGGGAAGUAUGGUUGCAAAGCUGAAACUUAAAGGAAUUGACGGAAGGGCACCACCAGGAGUGGAGCCUGUGGCUUAAUUUGACUCAACACGGGAA
rnacentral:rRNA from 1 species